ensembl:lncRNA
CUCUACAGUAUUAAGAUUAAGAAAUCAAAUAUGCUAUAAAAUGUAAAUACACUGAACUCAUUUGGAUAUAGUUAAGUGAGACUCUACAAUAUUCUUUGACACAAAUCUAUCUAAAUCAAAAUUUUAAUCAUUUUUUACUCCAAACAUUUACUGGACUGAUUUAAAUAUUAAAAUCACUCCUUUCUAAUCCUCUGCUGUACGUUCAAACCUGAGGCCUUAAAUAGAAACACACAAGUAUCUGAUUGAAGGAACUUCUGCAGAGUCCUGGUUCCAGAACAUGAUGAUAGAAUUAUAGACAAACUUUAACAAAAGCUGCCUGAGAGUUUACAGGUUUUUAUGUGAGAUUUCUUUAGUAAUUUAAUGAGAGUUAUCAGCAAAAAUCAAGUGUUCAUUUGAUGAACUUCAUUUCCUAAAACAUCCAGAAUUGGAGCUCAUAUCUUUGGCAGCUGUAAAGUUUCUGCUCCUUCAAAGUUUACAACACAAUGAAUUCCUAAAACACUCUCAAUGCUGGAGAGCGUUUGUGAUGCUGAAGCAAUGACCACUUUUUCUGUUUCUUCUCUGGAGAUGCACAAUGAGGGACGUCUGCAGCGACUGAGAAAGAGUCUCACCACAUCCUGACAUGAGGAAAAAGACUUUAUUGAAGACUACAAUGAGAAAAACUAUCAGACAUCAGACGGCUGCAUUCAAGAGAGGAAGACCAUCAAACAUCCACGUCAGCUGAUGGAGGUCCAAGAGUCUCACCCAACAAACAACCUACAGAAUGAAGACCUCCAAUCUGAUUGGACGGCCUCCUAUUCAGCCACGUAUAAGACAAGUACAAGAUUCUUCAGAGCCGUUCUACCAUGAGCCUGACAGGAAGAACUCCAACAGCUACUGAAUGUUCCUGUGGUUCCCUCAAGGCUACAGGAGGAGUCCUACGAGGACGAGCCGGUCCACCUGAUGGCGGCCAGUCGCUGUGAUUCAAAGCCAACACCGACUAUGUGGACUUCUACUGGACCACACGGAGGCCUUCAAACCGGACCAACAAGUUCAGCGACUCCCCGACUCGUGGGUCUGAGGACGCCGCCGAGCCUCGGUCCAGCCGGCCUCCUGUCUGUGGGUGUUUGAG